rnacentral:rRNA from 1 species
GAUGAACGCUGGCGGCGUGCCUAAUACAUGCAAGUCGAGCGAACAGACGAGGAGCUUGCUCCUCUGACGUUAGCGGCGGACGGGUGAGUAACACGUGGAUAACCUACCUAUAAGACUGGGAUAACUUCGGGAAACCGGAGCUAAUACCGGAUAAUAUAUUGAACCGCAUGGUUCAAUAGUGAAAGACGGUUUUGCUGUCACUUAUAGAUGGAUCCGCGCCGCAUUAGCUAGUUGGUAAGGUAACGGCUUUCCAAGGCAACGAUGCGUAACCGACCUGAGAGGGUGAUCGGCCACACUGGAACUGAGACACGGUCCAGACUCCUACGGGAGGCAGCAGUAGGGAAUCUUCCGCAAUGGGCGAAAGCCUGACGGAGCAACGCCGCGUGAGUGAUGAAGGUCUUCGGAUCGUAAAACUCUGUUAUUAGGGAAGAACAAAUGUGUAAGUAACUAUGCACGUCUUGACGGUACCUAAUCAGAAAGCCACGGCUAACUACGUG